rnacentral:rRNA from 1 species
CUGGCGGCGUGCUUAACACAUGCAAGUCGAACGAUGAAGCCUAGCUUGCUAGGUGGAUUAGUGGCGAACGGGUGAGUAAUACGUGAGUAACCUACCUUUAACUCUGGGAUAAGCCUGGGAAACUGGGUCUAAUACCGGAUACGACCAAUCUCCGCAUGGGGUGUUGGUGGAAAGCGUUAUGUAGUGGUUAUAGAUGGGCUCACGGCCUAUCAGCUUGUUGGUGAGGUAACGGCUCACCAAGGCGACGACGGGUAGCCGGCCUGAGAGGGUGACCGGCCACACUGGGACUGAGACACGGUCGACGCGUGAGUGAAGAAGGUUUUCGGAUCGUAAAGCUCUGUUGUAAGUCAAGAACGGGUGUGAGAGUGGAAAGUUCACACU